GCAGACACAUUCCAGCCAAUCAGCAGCAGACCCUCCCUCCCAGACCCUCCCACAGCAUCCAUUUUACAUUCAUUGUGAAGCUGCAUUCUUAGUGAGCUGUCCAGGAGGUGGGAGGGUCUGGGAGGGAGGGUCUGCUGCUGAUUGGCUGGAAUGUGUCUG